rnacentral:rRNA from 1 species
UACGGGGGGGGCGAGCGUUGUUCGGAAUCACUGGGCGUAAAGGGCGCGUAGGCGGCCCGCACAAGUCUGCGGUGAAAACCCCCGGCUUAACCGGGGGCCGGCCGUGGAAACUGUCGGGCUGGAGGCUGGGAGAGGGCAGCGGAAUUCCCGGUGUAGCGGUGAAAUGCGUAGAGAUCGGCAGGAACACCCAGGGGGAAACCAGCGGACUGGGCAUCAGCUGACGCUCAGGUGCGACAGCGUGGGGAGCGAACCGG